CCUACGGGAGGCUGCAGUCGAGAAUCUUCCGCAAUGGACGAAAGUCUGACGGAGCGACGCCGCGUGAAGGAUGAAGUACUUCGGUAUGUAAACUUCUUUUGGGAGGGAGAAAGUCAUUGAUAGUACCUCCAGAAUAAGGAGUUGCUAAACUCGUGCCAGCAGCAGCGGUAAUACGAGUGCUCCAAGCGUUAUCCGGAAUCAUUGGGCGUAAAGGGUGUGUAGGUGGUCGUAUUAGUCUUUUGUAAAAACCUCCGGCUUAACCGGAGAUCUGCAGGGGAAACGGUAUGACUUGAGGAUGCGAGAGGUAUGCGGAACUCAUAGUGUAGGGGUGAAAUCCGUUGAUAUUAUGGGGAACACCAAAAGCGAAGGCAGCAUACUGGCGCACUCCUGACACUGAAACACGAAAGCGUGGGUAGCGAAUGGGAUUAGAUACCCUAGUAGUC
rnacentral:rRNA from 1 species